GCCACACAUUCUCCUCCUGGGCUAAUCCUCUACUACUAGGAACCAAGUUGUGGGAAACUCUGGGAGGGAGGAGAGCUUGACUUGGUUCUUGCUUUAGUGGCUGGGUGGAUGUUUUUCUGUUCCUCAUACUCUCUGACAGGUAGGGAGGGACCAGGUCACCCAGAUUUGGUGCCAUGGGUGUUUGACAGUUCCUCCCCCAUCAUCUUCCUACCAGUGGUCCAGGAAGUAGCUGUGGCUACACUUUUUACCCAUAGCUGCAGGAAAAGGUGAUUUGGGCCCUGAGCCAGACCGCAGGGGUGCAGCAGAGGAUGAAAUCUUCCAGGGACAUCAUCUGUCUGAAGUGCCAGGACCAUUGACCCGCCUGCAGCUUGUGUGGCUAAUAUGGUGAAACAAAACCUGGAUUUAAGCCACAAAAGUCUAGAUUCUGAAUCCUGGGUGCAGACUCUACCUUUGCCACCGACAGGUCUUUUCUAAUUGGACUCUAUGAUGAUGUUAGGGAUCAGAAAGAAUAUGUAUUAUCUCCCCAUAUUUGAAGUGCAGUGGAUGGAGUGCUGGACCUGAAGUUAGGAAGACUCAUCUUCCUCAAAUCCAUCCUCAGCCACUUACUGUGUAACCUGGGCAAGUCGCUUAGCUCAUGUACCUUGAUUUCUUCAUAUGUAAAUUGAGCAGGAGAAGGAAAUAACAAACAAUUCCAGUAUAUUUGCCAAGAAAACCCUAGAUGGGGCCAUGAAGAGUCAGAAAAAUUGAAAAUGACUAAACAACAACUCACAAGAUUCCUUAACCAAAAUAAAGAAAAGAAGAGCUAGGAAGUAUGAGUAUUGUUUAUUCAGCUAGACAGGUCUGUCAUCCCAAGUCUCCAACCUUUGUUUAGCCAUAUAGGGCAAAAGUCAGCUUAUAAAAGCAAGAACCAAAAUAAAUAAUGUCACUGUUGUAAUGGGCAGACUUGAUUUUGAGUAUAAUGCAGCCAGAUAGCAAUGGGCCUGGAGUCAGGAAGACUCAUCUUCCUCAAAUUUGUCCAAAGACACUUACAAAUUGUGUGACCUUGAACAAAUCACUUAAAGUUUUUUCACCUCAGUUCCUUAUCUAAAAAAUGAACUGGGGAAAGAAAUGGCAAAUUAUUCUAGUAUCUUUGCCAAGAAAACCUGAAAUAGGGUCAUGAAAAGUUGGACAUGACUAAACAAAAACAACAAAACAUUGAAUGCAAGUUUCUCAGAACAUGGUGUAAAUGAUUCAUAAUUAAAAGAGAGAAUCAGGGAAACUACAUUUUGCUAAUAGAUAUCAUAAACCAUGAGUUAAUAUUAAAAAAUGUACAGAAACUUUUUCUGAUAGAGACUGAUAAAGGGCUAACUUCUCUACUAUAAAGGAAACUGAAUCAAAUUUUUUUUUAAAAAAAGAGCCAUUGGUCAAAGAAUAUAAAGAGGCAGUUUUCAGAAGAGGAAAUCAAAGCUAUUUAUAGUCAUAUGAAAAAUGCUUUAAAUCACUAUUGAUUCGAAAAAUAACAAUUAAAAUAACUCUGAGGUAUCACAUCACACUUAGCAGAAGUGGCAAAUAUUGUAGGGAAUGAGGGAAAAUAGGUGCAUUAAUAUAUUGUUGAUAGACUGCCGAACUGGUCCAACUAUUCUGGAGAACAAUUUGGAACAACACACAAAGGGUUAUCAAACUUUUCAGGCCUUUUGACCUCUAAUGUCACUAUUAGAUUUGUACUCAAGAGAUUAAGAAAAAAAUGGUAAAAAAGAAAAAAAAAGAAAAAAAUGGGGUCUUAUAUGUACAAAAAUAUUUAUGGCAGCUUUUUUUGCAGUGGCAAAGAAUUUGAAAUUGAGAUGAUGCUCAUCAUUUGGAGAAUGGUUGAACAAAUUGUGGCAUAUGAUUGUGAUGGAGUAUAUAAGAAAUGAUUAGGAGAGUGAUUUAAGAAAAAACAGCAAAACCUGUAUGAACUGAUGCAGGGUGAAGUGAGAACUGGGAGAUCAUUGUGUAUAGUAACAGCAAUGUUACUAUAAUGUUACCAAAAUGUUAGCAAUGUUACCAAAAACAUAGAAAUAUAUUUUGCAUGAUUUCACAUGUAUAAUUGAUAUAAUUUUGUUUGACUUUCCAGUGGGUAGGGCACAAAAUAGUUUCUAAUAAUUUUCUUUAUUUUCCCUUCAACUGUUGUGAAUUCUCUCUUUUCAUUUCAACAAUUUGGUUUUCCUUUCUCUUUUAAAGAAUAAAAUAACUAAUGGUUACUAUUGUGUAUUUUUUAACCUAUUAUGUAUUCUAAUAAAAUUUAUUCUUUGCUUUCUCUCUCUCUCUCUCUCUCCUUUACCAAGAAAAAAGGUGAGGGGGAAAAAAUGAAUAUUACCCACCCAAGUAAUCUGCAAUUGAAACAUUCUGAUAUCUGCUUUGUUCUUCCUCGCUUUGCUCAAUGCAGACUCCAAUCACUA
rnacentral:lncRNA from 1 species